rnacentral:rRNA from 1 species
GAUGAACGCUAGCGGCAGGCCUAACACAUGCAAGUCGAGGGGUAGAAGGAGCUUGCUCCUUUGAGACCGGCGCACGGGUGCGUAACGCGUAUGCAAUCUACCUUGUACAGGGGAAUAGCCCAGAGAAAUUUGGAUUAAUGCCCCAUAGUAUAUAACCUUCGCAUGUUGGUUAUAUUAAAGUUCCAACGGUACAAGAUGAGCAUGCGUCCCAUUAGUUAGUUGGUAAGGUAACGGCUUACCAAGACGAUGAUGGGUAGGGGUCCUGAGAGGGAGAUCCCCCACACUGGUACUGAGACACGGACCAGACUCCUACGGGAGGCAGCAGUGAGGAAUAUUGGUCAAUGGUCGCAAGACUGAACCAGCCAUGCCGCGUGCAGGAAGACGGUCCUAUGGAUUGUAAACUGCUUUUAUACAGGAAGAAACCCUACCACGUGUGGGAGCUUGACGGUACUGUAGGAAUAAGGAUCGGCUAACUCCGUG